GAUCUUUGCUCACCACAGGGACCCACCAAGGAGUGAGUGCAGCCUGAGGGAGCACAGCUGCAAAGACCCAUCUUCCUCCAAACCCCUAUCUCCUGUGGUGUUGCUCAGGACUCUUUCGAUGAUGAAUUGUUCUUUGAACAUACUUCUGUUCCACUACAUAAUACAAAAUGCACAGCUCAACUGAUAAGGGUAACCUUCCUGUAACCAGCACUGAUUUUAUUCGGAUGUUAUCACAGAUAAAUUCAGCAGUGAAGAUGACUGUGGUGGAGAGUCCUCUCAGCUAAGACUAGACCGUUGGUCAUGAUAUUCAUCGCUCAUAAAACCCUGCCUUCCUCAACCACGCAGUGACAGGCCUGCCAAGCUGCAACAAGUAAGAAUUUCAUUACUCCAUUGCCAGCACAUCCGGUCAUCAAAUACUAUUGACUCCUGACUAAGCAUAUCUGGGAAAAGGACAGAAGUGUAAGUCAAUGUAAGUCAUAAACUGUAUAGAGAUUGGUAAAGAUGAGUAAUCUCCCACUUCUCCAGUCACCCUGCUCCUUUACCUUCCUUCAUACACUCCCAUCCCAAAAUCCCUCACUGACCUUUUAUCGCCCCCUCUUUCCCCUCCCUCUUGCUUUACAUUUCACUCCUCCAUUUCUCUCCCUACCUGACGCCCUUUUGUCUCCUUUACGCCUCACAUCUUUCUCACUUGCUCCAUCCAUCUGCAAAUAAAACUACCCCCUCACCUGUAUCUACCGAUCAUGUUCCAAACUUUGUCCCACCCCACCUCCCCUUUCCAGCUUUCUUCCCCCAUUACAAACAGUUUGAAGAAGGAUCCCGAACUGAAACAAUGAUUGUCCAAUCCCUCCGCAGAUGCUGCCUGACCCACUGAGUUCCUCCAGCACUUUGUGUUUUGCUAGCAUCUGCAGUUUCUAGCAUCUGCAGUUCCUUGUGUCCCCUGGUAAUAGACUGAUAGUCUAUUGCUUGAUUGGUAAUUAGUUUCCAAUUAGAUUGGAAUCUAUAAGUUGUGAUGACGUCGGAAGGCAGACGGUGGGCGACGGUUGCGCGAUGAUGUCGAGGGGUAAUGGAUGGGCGAGGUCUGAGACGCGGUGACGUCGGUGGGCGAGGCCGAAGUUUGCGCAAUGACGUCGAAGGCGGACGAUGGGCGGGGCCGCGCGAACAUGAUGAUGUCGCGGGCGCUCGGAGGGCGGGGCCACGGGAUGCGACGUUGUCGA